rnacentral:lncRNA from 1 species
CUUUAUAGGUAAAGCCUCAUCUCCCCUUGAUAACUUCAGAAUCUUAAUCCUAUUCAGACUUUUUGUCAAGCAAUUUACAAGAUUCAAUUCAGAUCUGAUACAACUCAAAAUAAUAAUAUCAUAAGAAGUUAACAGUAUAACAAACUUCUGUCUCAACUUAAUAUAUCUACUAGCCUUAAAAUUUAUCCUUUUUUUUUUACAAAAAUUAAUUACAACCUGAGAGUCACGCUGAACAGAAAUAAAUAAAAUCAGAGAAGAAAUUAAGAAAUCGAUGACAAUAGAUUGAGCUACUUGUUUCCAAGACAAGUAGUGUCAAGGGUAACUAAUUCGAUCUCAAUGGUACUUCUAAUUAUUAUAGUUUGUUUGACGG